GUGAAUCAUCGAAUUUUUGAACGCAAAUUGCACUCUCUGGUAUUCCGGAGAGUAUGCCUGUUUGAGGGUCAGUAUAAAUAAAAAUCGAGGUGUUGCUUAUGGUGACGCCAUCGGAAUUGGGUUAUCUUUAAUCUUAAUAAAGGUUUAAAGUGACCUAAAAUUGAUGAUACCUUGUGCAUCUCAAGACGUACAUAAGAAUUUUUUUUUUAUCCGUCCGGAGUUUGCCAAAUCUUUAUUAGGUAUGACCAUGAUCGUUUGUGGCAUUUGUACCUAUAAUUUUAACUCAUAUUUUGACCUCAAA
rnacentral:misc_RNA from 1 species